GGCUCAGGAGGCAGAGCUCUGAAUGUCUCACCAUGGCCUGGAUCCCUCUCCUGCUCCCCCUCCUCACUCUCUGCACAGUCUCUGUGGCCUCCUAUGAGCUGACACAGCCAUCCUCAGUGUCAGUGUCUCCGGGACAGACAGCCAGGAUCACCUGCUCUGGAGAUGUACUGGCAAAAAAUUAUGCUGGUUGGUACCAGCAGAAGCCAGGCCAGGCCCCUGUGCUGGUGAUAUAUAAAGACAGUGAGCGGCCCUCAGGGAUCCCUGAGCGAUUCUCUGGCUCCAGCUCAGGGACCACAGUCACCUUGACCAUCAGUGGGGCCCAGGCAGAAGACGAGGCUGACUAUUACUGUCUAUCAGCAGACAGCAGUGGUAAUCAUCCCACAGUGACACAAGCAGACAGGGAAAUGGUCACUCAGCAGUGGCUACAGCCAGGCCAGCUCCAGUUAGUGGAAAUCCACAUUGAUGAGCCCAUGGACAGCCUCCAUCCCUGCUACCAUGGGCACUUUUUUUUAUGGAGCCCAUUGGGCAUUGACAAGAGUGGUUGA